rnacentral:rRNA from 1 species
UACGGGGGGAGCAAGCGUUGUUCGGAAUUACUGGGCGUAAAGCGCACGUAGGCGGCUUUGUAAGUUAGAGGUGAAAGCCCGGAGCUCAACUCCGGAAUUGCCUUUAAGACUGCAUCGCUAGAAUUGUGGAGAGGUAAGUGGAAUUCCGAGUGUAGAGGUGAAAUUCGUAGAUAUUCGGAAGAACACCAGUGGCGAAGGCGACUUACUGGACACAUAUUGACGCUGAGGUGCGAAAGCGUGGGGAGCAAACAGG